GGUAAGCCACUUCCGCGUGAGGGAUAGCAGCGGCAUCCUUUUAUGGAGCAUCGCGGAAUAAAAGAUACAGCGGAUAGCCCGACCUGAA
rnacentral:sRNA from 1 species